rnacentral:rRNA from 1 species
AGUGAACGCUGGCGGUAGGCCUAACACAUGCAAGUCGAACGGCAGCACAGUAAGAGCUUGCUCUUACGGGUGGCGAGUGGCGGACGGGUGAGGAAUACAUCGGAAUCUACUUUUUCGUGGGGGAUAACGUAGGGAAACUUACGCUAAUACCGCAUACGACCUACGGGUGAAAGCAUGGGAUCUUCGGACCUUGCGCGAUUGAAUGAGCCGAUGUCGGAUUAGCUAGUUGGCGGGGUAAAGGCCCACCAAGGCGACGAUCCGUAGCUGGUCUGAGAGGAUGAUCAGCCACACUAGAACUGAGACACGGUCCAGACUCCUACGGGAGGCAGCAGUGGGGAAUAUUGGACAAUGGGCGCAAGCCUGAUCCAGCCAUGCCGCGUGGGUGAAGAAGGCCUUCGGGUUGUAAAGCCCUUCUGUUGGGGAAGAAAAGCAGUAGGUUAAUACCUCGCUGUUCUGACGUUACCAAAAGAAUAAGCACCGGCUAACUUCGUG